rnacentral:tRNA from 2 species
UCUUCCGUAGUAUAGUGGUCAGUAUGCAAGCUUGUCAUAAAAACAACGCGCUUGAGACCCGGGUUCAAUUCCCGGCGGGAGAG